AUGAAGGUAUUGGUUGAUUCUAUCAAGUCCUUCGGCCUUAAUAUUGAUGACAUUAGGGGGCAAGGUUAUGACAAUGGUUCCCAUACGGAAGGAAAAUACAAGAGGGUACAGUGCGGGAAGUUGCAACUACCAAGCAUGUCCAUUGAGUCUGCAUUAACACAAAUAGAAGCUAAAGAGGGCGUAGAGCCAUCAUUACAGAAAAAGCGUCGUACUCCUAGGAAGAACCAAUUUAAUGAAAUUGACUGCGAUGAAGCAAUCUUGGAAGCUGAGAAGGGUUUUGAAGUUACUCAUUUUUUGGUUCUGAUUGCUAAGGCAACCGGCUCAUGA
rnacentral:rRNA from 1 species